rnacentral:rRNA from 1 species
AGAGUUUGAUCAUGGCUCAGGACGAACGCUGGCGGCGUGCUUAACACAUGCAAGUCGUGGGCACCAGCAAUGGUGACCGGCGAACGGGUGCGUAACACGUGAGCGACCUACCGAUUUGUGGGGGAUAGCCGGCCCAACGGCCGGGUAAUACCGCAUACGCCAAGUGGACCGCAUGGUCUGUUUGGGAAACCUCCGGGGCAAAUUGAGGGGCUCGCGGCCUAUCAGCUAGUUGGCGGGGUAAUGGCCCACCAAGGCAUCGACGGGUAGCUGGUCUGAGAGGAUGGCCAGCCACAUUGGGACUGAGAAACGGCCCAGACUCCUACGGGAGGCAGCAGUGGGGAAUCUUGCGCAAUGGCCGAAAGGCUGACGCAGCGACGCCGCGUGUGGGAUGAAGCUCUUCGGGGUGUAAACCACUGUUGCCCGGGACGAACGGCGAGAUUUAUCUCGCGUGACGGUACCGGGUGAGGAAGCACCGGCUAACUCCGUGCCAGCAGCCGCGGUAAUACGGAGGGUGCGAGCGUUGUCCGGAAUCACUGGGCGUAAAGGGCGCGUAGGCGGCUCAGCAAGCGGGCGGUGAAAGCCCGGGGCUCAACCCCGGGUCAGCCGAACGGACUGCGGAGCUAGACCAGACUAGGGGCUCGUGGAAUUCCGGGUGUAGCGGUGGAAUGCGUAGAGAUCCGGAAGAACACCGGUGGCGAAGGCGGCGAGCUGGGGUCUGUGUGACGCUGAUGCGCGACAGCGUGGGGAGCAAACAGGAUUAGAUACCCUGGUAGUCCACGCCGUAAACGAUGGGCACUAGUGCCCGGGGAGCGACCCCUCGGGUGCCGUCGCUAACGCAUUAAGUGCCCCGCCUGGGGGAGUACGGCCGCG